GACGAACGCUGGCGGCGUGCCUAAUACAUGCAAGUUGAGCGCUGAAGGUUGGUACUUGUACCAACUGGAUGAGCAGCGAGCGGGUGAGUAACGCGUGGGGAAUCUGCCUUUGAGCGGGGGACAACAUUUGGAAACGAAUGCUAAUACCGCAUAAAAACUUUAAACACAAGUUUUAAGUUUGAAAGAUGCAAUUGCAUCACUCAAAGAUGAUCCCGCGUUGUAUUAGCUAGUUGGUGAGGUAAAGGCUCACCAAGGCGAUGAUACAUAGCCGACCUGAGAGGGUGAUCGGCCACAUUGGGACUGAGACACGGCCCAAACUCCUACGGGAGGCAGCAGUAGGGAAUCUUCGGCAAUGGACGAAAGUCUGACCGAGCAACGCCGCGUGAGUGAAGAAGGUUCUCGGAUCGUAAAACUCUGUUGGUAGAGAAGAACGUUGGUGAGAGUGGAAAGCUCAUCAAGUGACGGUAACUACCCAGAAAGGGACGGCUAACUACGUG
rnacentral:rRNA from 1 species